rnacentral:rRNA from 1 species
UACGAAGGGGGCUAGCGUUGCUCGGAAUCACUGGGCGUAAAGCGCACGUAGGCGGCACUCUAGUCGGUGGUGAAAUCCUGGAGCUCAACUCCAGAACUGCCUCGAUACUGGAGAGUCUCGAGUCCGGGAGAGGUGAGUGGAACUGCGAGUGUAGAGGUGAAAUUCGUAGAUAUUCGCAAGAACACCAGUGGCGAAGGCGGCUCACUGGCCCGGUACUGACGCUGAGGUGCGAAAGCGUGGGGAGCAAACAGG